GUAAUUAUACUUUAACAAAAACAUUAGAUUGUGAAUCUAACAAUAGAAGAUAAACCCUUCUUACUUACC
rfam:Cavia porcellus supercont2_18 genomic scaffold, whole genome shotgun sequence.